GACGAACGCUGGCGGCGUGCCUAAUACAUGCAAGUCGAGCGGACAAAGCGGAGCUUGCUCCUCGAUGUUAGCGGCGGACGGGUGAGUAACCCUUAGGCAACCUGCCUGUAAGACUGGGAUAACUUCAUGACACCGAAGCUCAUACCGGAUAAUGCUUUUGAACUCUUGUUCGAAAGCUGAUAGAUGGUUUCGGCUAUCACUUACAGAUGGGCCCGCGGCGCAUUAGCUAGUUGGUGAGGUAACGGCUCAAGCAAGCAUCGAUGCGUAGCCGAACUCAGAGGGUGAUCGGACAGACGGGGAGAGAGACAGGGCAGAGACACCGGCAGGGGGAAGCAGUAGGGAAUCUUCUGCAAUGGACGAGAGGGGAACGGAGCAAAGCGGGGUGAGGGAUGAAGGUGUUCGGAUGGUAGAACGAUGUUGUUAGGGAAGAAGAAGUACCGGAGUAACUGCCAGUAUAAUGACGGUACCUAGACAGAAAGCCACGGCUAACUACGUG
rnacentral:rRNA from 1 species